rnacentral:rRNA from 1 species
GACAGAGGAUGCAAGCGUUAUCCGGAAUGAUUGGGCGUAAAGCGUCUGUAGGUGGCUUUUAAGUCCGCCGUCAAAUCCCAGGGCUCAACCCUGGACAGGCGGUGGAACUACCAAGCUGGAGUACGGUAGGGCAGAGGGAAUUUCCGGUGGAGCGGUGAAUGCGUAGAGAUCGGAAAGAACACCAACGGCGAAAGCACUCUGCUGGCCGACACUGACACUGAGAGACGAAAGCUAGGGGAGCGAAUGGG